ACCUCGAUAGUGCAGUAGAUAGCACACCAUACUGGACAUUUGAAAGCAGCGGGCUCAAACCCCGCUUGGGUUC
rnacentral:tRNA from 1 species